rnacentral:rRNA from 1 species
GACGAACGCUGGCGGCGUGCUUAACACAUGCAAGUCGAACGGAAAGGCCCUGCUUGCAGUGUGCUCGCGUUGCGAACGGGUGGGUAACUCGUGGGUGAUCUACCCCUUACUUUGGGAUAAGCCUGGUCGACUGGGUCUAAUACUGGAUAGGUCCAUGCUGUAGGUGGUGUGGUGGAAAGUUUAGGUUCGGUCAGGGAUGAGCUCGCGGACUAUCAGCUUGUUGCUGGGGUAAUGGCCUACCAAGGCGUCGGCGGGUAGCCGGCCUGAGGGGGAGGACGGCCACAUUGGGACUGAGAUACGGCGCAGACUCCUACGGGAGGCAGCAGUGGGGAAAAUUGCACAAUGGGCGCAAGCCGGAUGCAGCGACGCCGCGUGGGGGAUGAAGGCCUUCGGGUUGUAAACACCUUUCAGCCAUGACGAAGCCCUUGUGGUGACGGUAGUGGUAGAAGAAGCACCGGCUAACUACGUA